UUGGUGCCUUCGGGAACUGUGAGACAGGUGCUGCAUGGCUGUCGUCAGCUCGUGUUGUGAAAUGUUGGGUUAAGUCCCGCAACGAGCGCAACCCUUAUCCUUUGUUGCCAGCGGUCCGGCCGGGAACUCAAAGGAGACUGCCAGUGAUAAACUGGAGGAAGGUGGGGAUGACGUCAAGUCAUCAUGGCCCUUACGACCAGGGCUACACACGUGCUACAAUGGCGCAUACAAAGAGAAGCGACCUCGCGAGAGCAAGCGGACCUCAUAAAGUGCGUCGUAGUCCGGAUUGGAGUCUGCAACUCGACUCCAUGAAGUCGGAAUCGCU
rnacentral:rRNA from 1 species